rnacentral:ncRNA from 1 species
GCAAUCUGAAACUGGCGCACAAGGACAUCGUGGUCUUUCGCUCGCUCCUGGGCAUCAGUUGGCUUUGGUUCUUCGGGGCGACCUUCCUGACGCAGUUCUCGGUGUUCUCCAAGGAUGUGCUG